UUCAGGGGUAAACCUGAGAAACCCGAAAGAUCGAAUGGGGAGAUUCAUCGUCAGCGAUCCUGGUGCGUGUGCGGUUCGCGAUUCCGGGGACUUCGGUCUCAUGGCACGCGUCCGCAUGUUUUUUUAUUGCCAGGCAUCGUCGGCGUGCACUUCUCCCCUAGUAGGACGUCGCGACCCGUUGGGUGUCGGUCUACGGCCCGGGUGGGCGCCUGUCUCGUGUGCGCUUCACGGCGUUACGCGGGUCAGACCCCCGGUUGCCUGGCCGGCUGCCCGGCGGUACUCGCACGGUAUCUGGCCGCAAUUAUUCGAACUGCGUCCGGCCCGUCGCAAGCGAGGCAAGUGUUUUCCCGGAUGUACGGAUCUAAUGCCGUCACCGGGCCUUGCCAGCUGUUGGUUGACGGUGUCCUAGGACUGGCUAUUGCAAUUAUGAUACCGGUCGGCGACGCUACUGCUUUGGGUACUUUCAGGACCCGUCUUGAAACACGGACCAAGGAGUCUAACAUGUGCGCGAGUCAUUGGGAACUAUUAAGCCUAAAGGCGCAAUGAAAGUGAAGGUCGGCNUUGCGCCGACCGAGGGAGGAUGGGCCGCGUUACGAUGCGGUCCCGCACUCCCGGGGCGUCUCGUUCUCAUUGCGAGAAGAGGCGCACCCAGAGCGUACACGUUGGGACCCGAAAGAUGGUGAACUAUGCCUGGUCAGGACGAAGUCAGGGGAAACCCUGAUGGAGGUCCGUAGCGAUUCUGACGUGCAAAUCGAUCGUCGGAACUGGGUAUAGGGGCGAAAGACUAAUCGAACCA
rnacentral:rRNA from 1 species